CUGGAAUGGCUUAUGGUCUAAACAGUUUACUGCCAUGGGAUGGGACUGCGGCCUAUCAGCUUGUUGGUGAGGUAAUGGCCCACCAAGGCUAUAACAGGUACGGGCUCUGAGAGGAGAAGCCCGGAGAUGGGUACUGAGACACGGACCCAGGCCCUAUGGGGCGCAUCAGGCGAGAAAUCUUAGCAAUGUGCGGAAGCACGACUGGGUCAGUCCGAGUGAUUCCUGAUAAAGGAGUCUUUUAUCUGUCCUAAAAGCACAGGUGAAUAAGGGGUGGGCAAGUCUGGUGUCAGCCGCCGCGGUAAUACCAGCACCUCGAGUGGUCAGGACGUUUACUGGGCCUAAAGCAUCCGUAGCCGGCUUUGCAAGUCUUCGGUUAAAUCCACCUGCUCAACAGAUGGGCUGCUGGAGAUACUACAAAGCUAGGGAGUGGGAGAGGCAGACGGUAUUCAGUGGGUAGGGGUAAAAUCCUCUGAUCCAUCGAGGACCACCAGUGGCGAAGGCGGCUUGCCAGAAUGCGCUCGACGGUGAGGGAUGAAAGCUGGGGGAGCAAACCGGAUUAGAUACCCGGGUAGUCCCAGCCGUAAACGAUGCAGACUCGGUGAUGGGUUGGCUUCGCGCUAACCCAGUGCCGCAGGGAAGCCGUUAAGUCCGCCGCCUGGGUAGUACGGACGCAAGACUGAAACUUAAAGGAAUUGGCGGGGGAGCACCACAAGGGGUGAAGCCUGCGGUUCAAUUGGACUCAACGCCGGU
rnacentral:rRNA from 1 species